rnacentral:rRNA from 1 species
UUUCAAGAUUCUAAGAGCAAACGGUGGAUGCCUUGGCAUCUGGAGCCGAAGAAGGACGUAUAAAUCUGCGAUAAGCCUCGGGGAGCUGAUAAUAGAGCUUUGAUCCGAGGAUCUCCGAAUGGGGAAACCCCGCCAGGCCCUUUGGGUGACCUGGUGACUCCCGCCUGAAUAUAUAGGGCGGGUAGAGGGAACGUGGGGAAGUGAAACAUCUCAGUACCCACAGGAAGAGAAAGCAAAAGCGAUUCCGUUAGUAGUGGCGAGCGAAACCGGAAGAGGCCAAACCGAUCAUGUGUGAUAUCCGGUAGGAGUUGCAUGGUCGGGGUUGCGGGACUUUCCGUACAGUUCUACCGAGCUGUGAGGGCAAUGAGCGCGAUAUAGACGAAUGGUCUUGAAAGGCCAGUCAUAGAGGGUGCGAACCCCGUAGUCGAAAUGUCGUCGCCUGUCCGGAGAGUAUCCCAAGUAGCACGGGGCCCGAGAAAUCCCGUGUGAAUCUGUCAGGACCACCUGAUAAGCCUAAAUACUCCCAGAUGACCGAUAGCGGACAAGUACCGUGAGGGAAAGGUGAAAAGUACCCCGGGAGGGGAGUGAAAUAGUACCUGAAACCGUUUGCUUACAAACCGUUGGAGCACCCUUGUUGGUGUGACAGCGUGCCUUUUGAAGAAUGAGCCUGCGAGUUAGUGAUAUGUGGCGAGGUUAACCCGUGAGGGGCAGCCGUAGCGAAAGCGAGUCUUAAUAGGGCGUAUGAGUCGCAUGUUCUAGACCCGAAGCGAAGUGAUCUAUCCAUGGCCAGGUUGAAGCGACGGUAAGACGUCGUGGAGGACCGAACCCACUUCAGUUGAAAAUGGAGGGGAUGAGCUGUGGAUAGGGGUGAA